rnacentral:lncRNA from 1 species
UCUGUGUGUGGUAGUUUAGUGUCUUUUGUAAUUUGUUGGUGUGUGGUUAGUUUAGUUGUCUGUGCUAGUUUGUUGUCUGUUGUACUAUUGUUGUGUGUGGUAGUUUAGUGUCUUGUGAUAGUUUAGUUGUAUGUUGUACUCUGUUCUGUUGUUGGUAGUUUAGUUGUCGUGUGGAUAGUUUAGUUGUUCUGUUGUACCUUGUUGUGUGUGGUAGUUUUAGUUCGGCUGUGAUCGUUAGUUGUAUGUUGUACUUUUUUGUGUGUGGUAGUUUAGUGUCUGUGAUAGUUUGUUGUCUGUGUACCUCUUGUUGUGUGUGUGGUAGUUUAGUUGUCUGUAUUUAGUUUAGUUUUAGUUGUAUGUUGUACUCUUUUGUGUGUGUGUGGCUAGUUUAGUGUCUUGUGAUACGUUUAGGUUGUCUGCUGCUACUUUGUUGGUGUGGUAGUUUAGUUGUUUUUUCUGGUGAUAGUUUAGUGUUGUUUACUCUUGUUUGUCUGUGGGUAAGUUUAGUGGUCUGUGAUAGUUUAGUUGUCUGUUGUACUCUUGUUGUCUUUGAUAGGUUAGUUGUCUGUUGUACUCUGUGUCUGUUAUAGUUUAGUUGCCGUUGUACUCUUGUUGUGUGUGGUCGUUUAGUUGUUGUGAUCGUUUAGUUGUCUGUUGCCUUCUUGUUGUCUGCUGAUAGUUUAGUUGUCUGUUGU